GCGGGAAUAGCUCCAGUUUAGAGUACGCACCUUGCCAAGGUCGGGGUCGCGAGUUCGAGUCUCGUUUCCCGCC
rnacentral:tRNA from 1 species